rnacentral:ncRNA from 1 species
AUUAAUAAUCAUAUCUAACUUAAUGUUCAGUCCUAUAGAUGUAAAAGGUAUUUACAUGUAUUGUUAAUGUUCUAAAUGGUUAUUUGGCAGUAAUUAAUAUUAUACUAUUAAUUAAUUUUAGAUAUAGUAUUCCUUUUAUGUAUCGGUAAAAUGCGUGCCAGCUGCCGCGGUUAGACGUGGGAUACUAAUAAAUAUUUUUGGUUAAAAGUUAACUUUUGAUUGUCAUAGUUUAAUAAAUUAUUUUGGUGGAAUAAUUAAUUUUGUUUAUUUUGAUUAUAAGAUUUGGUGAGGCUUUGAAAUGUUUAUUAAAAACUAGGAUUAGAUACCCUAUUAUUGAACAUUUAAAAUUUAGUUACUUGAGUAGUAUUAGGUAUGAUCUUGAAACUCAAAGAAUUUGGCGGUGUUUUAGUCCUUUCAGAGGAAUCUGUUCUGUAAUUGAUAUUACACGAUUUGAUAUACUUAAUUUUGUUAUCAGUUUAUAUACCGCCGUCGUAAGAUUAUCUUGUAGAGAGUAUUAAAUUUCGUUGUGUUUAAUUGAUCUUUAUGUCAGGUCAAGGUGUAGCUUAUGGUUAAGAAGAAAUGGAUUACAAUAAAUUUAUUUAUAUGGAUAAUAUUUUUAAUGAGUAUUUGAAAGUGGAUUUGAUUGUAAAUUGAUUUAAAAUGUUCUGUUGAUUAUGGCUCUAAAAUGUGUACAUAUCGCCCGUCGCUCUCGUUUUAAGAUGAGAUAAGUCGUAACAUAGUAGGUGUACCGGAAGGUGUACCUAGAAUG